GAUGAACGCUGGCGGCGUGCCUAAUACAUGCAAGUCGAGCGAACAGACGAGGAACUUGCUCCUCUGACGUUAGCGGCGGACGGGUGAGUAACACGUGGAUAACCUACCUAUAAGACUGGGAUAACUUCGGGAAACCGGAGCUAAUACCGGAUAAUAUAUUGAACCGCAUGGUUCAAUAGUGAAAGACGGUUUUGCUGUCACUUAUAGAUGGAUCCGCGCCGCAUUAGCUAGUUGGUAAGGUAACGGCUUACCAAGGCAACGAUGCGUAGCCGACCUGAGAGGGUGAUCGGCCACACUGGAACUGAGACACGGUCCAGACUCCUACGGGAGGCAGCAGUAGGGAAUCUUCCGCAAUGGGCGAAAGCCUGACGGAGCAACGCCGCGUGAGUGAUGAAGGUCUUCGGAUCGUAAAACUCUGUUAUUAGGGAAGAACAAAUGUGUAAGUAAGUAUGCACGUCUUGACGGUACCUAAUCAGAAAGCCACGGCUAACUACGUG
rnacentral:rRNA from 1 species